GGAGGACAAAAGUCGUCUAAAACCCAUUCAUUUUGCAACGCUAUUGGACAGAACAAUUCAUCCCCCUUUCUCUCUUGGACCGAAAAGAACGCCGAAGAAAAAUCGUCUCUGACCGUCGACGGCGAGCACUUGGGUUUUAGGGAUCAAUGACUUCCAGCUAUUAACAAAUCGCCCAUUUUCGAGUAGUUGUUAACGGUCGACGGGGAGCACUUGGGACUUCAGAUCGACGACUUCCAACUAUUCUGCCCAGGAUCUCUACAACUACGACAAAUACCCCUGUUCUUUCUUCCCAUUUUCUUUCAAUUGUCCAGAUAAGAAGCGAUGUCCGGACUGUGGUAAGGGAAUCGUGAAAAUGAUGGAGGCGGAGAGGAAGACUCUAUUUGCCAUUAGAAUGCUGUUUACUAUAUGUAAGAAGGACAUAAUAAGUUGGCACGGAAUAGAUGAUUAAGUUGGCUUGGUAAUAUUUUGUUAAAAUUGAACUUGUGUUCAAUGAUUUUGUUUCAUUUAUGAUGAUCAAUUGUUUGCUUGGUAUUUUUUUGUUAAAGUUGAACGUUCAAGUCAAGAUCAAAGAAUGGUAUCAUUUUUUAUCAUUUGAUCAUGUAAUACAUGAUUAAGUUGGCUUA